CUGUUUUAGACAGAGAAGGAUCUGUAGCAGUGGCUGUGUGUGUGGCUUUGUGUUUAUUCCUGACUUAGCAUCUGUAAGGUGAUAGACUCUGGAAAGAGCAGUCUUCAGUAUGUGUAAAAGAGUCAAGGCUUGUUGGAUGAGGCUGCCUUUACAUGCAGCAGAACUCCUUUGAGUCCUGGGUAAGAAGGAAACAGAAGCUGCUGUCUUACCAGUGUGUGCCAUGUAACCCAACAAUCUACGUGUGAUUUUACCUGCAGAGGUUCUUAGAGGCUACUAAAGAACUGGAGAAGAUGAUGUCAAAUUAAUCACAUUGGUGCAGUACUACCCAGGCAUCAGAGAAGAAGCUGUAUGAAGUCUUCAGAAAGUCCUGAGUGGUUCACAUGAUGAUUUUUCAAAAGCCUCCCAUACCGCAGCCUGAAAUGCAACCCAGGCAGAUUAGCAAAGUACAGGGAGACGAACAUCAAAAGGAAGUUCAGUCUCAGAAAAGUUACAGACAGGAAUGUAUAGGACCAGAGUGCAGACAACUACUGACCCAAUGAAGUCACCUGGAAUUGCUUCACUGCUUACGAACGCCAGACUGCAUGUUUACUGCCCUUCUGCAGCUGCUGUUGUACCAAGAUUGUUUAUCUGCAUAGUGCCUGUCUGCUGUGGCUUCUUAAGUAUUUCACAAUCUAAAAAGCUUGAAACUUUUUAGUAGAGUUUUCAAAUUGAUAAGAGAACCAAACCAUGAUGUUCUGGGAAGGAAUCUAUCACACUGAAAAGUCUAGUUUAUUUUCAGCUUUUGUAAAACUGAUGCUGAGAGC
ensembl:lncRNA